rnacentral:rRNA from 1 species
GAUGAACGCUAGCGGCAGGCUUAAUACAUGCAAGUCGAGGGGUAGCAAGAUUGUAGCAAUACAAUUGUUGACGACCGGCAAACGGGUGCGGAACACGUACACAACCUUCCUACAAGUGGGGAAUAGCCCAGAGAAAUUUGGAUUAAUACCCCGUAACAUAGCGAUGUGGCAUCACAUUGCUAUUAUAGCUUCGGCGCUUGUUGAUGGGUGUGCGGCUGAUUAGAUAGUUGGCGGGGUAACGGCCCACCAAGUCUACGAUCAGUAGCUGAUGUGAGAGCAUGAUCAGCCACACGGGCACUGAGACACGGGCCCGACUCCUACGGGAGGCAGCAGUGGGAAAUAUUGGACAAUGGGCGAAAGCCUGAUCCAGCCAUGCCGCGUGUGUGAAGAAGGCCUUCGGGUUGUAAAGCACUUUAAGCGGGGAGGAAGUACUUGGGGCUAAUAUCCCUGAGUGUUGACGUUACCCGCAGAAUAAGCACCGGCUAACUCUGUGCCAGCCGCCGCGGUAACAC